rnacentral:lncRNA from 1 species
UCUUUAUAGAGUUGAUAGGGCUUUACAUGAGUUCCUGCAUGUAAAGUGCUUAGGCAGGGACCUCGUACUGUCUAGGAAAUCCUCUAAGUGUAUGCUGUUGUCGUUGGCAUGUUUGUGUCUGUGCCUUACCUCCUCACUAGGCCUGCAGCUCCUUGAGGAGAGGGUCUGUCUCUUUAAGCCAAUUUGUGUCCCCGCAGGGUCCCAGCACAGGGCCUGGCCACAGUGGGUCCUCACUGACUGUUUGUGGAGUGAUGAUGGGGUCCGGGUGCCCUCUCCCCUGGCCUGCUGUCUCCCGCGGGCCCCUGCAGAGCAAUGCUGUCUCCGUGGCUGAGGCCCUUCCUCCCACAGCCCCGCCUGAGCUCCUUCAAUUUUCCCUGGCAGCUCCCACGUUCUGGACUAACUUUAGGGUUUCCCCCAGCAAGGAGGACAACAUGGGUCUAAAUCUAUCACUGACAUCUCUGCUUAUUAGCUGAUCCUUGCCACCUGGCUAACUCCGACCACAGCAAAACUGAGAGUUCCGAGGGCUUCUCAGAGGGUAUGAGAAUGGGGGUUGUACUUCCUAAUACUACUUUUGCUUAUGCUGAAUGUGAAACUUUCCAAA